rnacentral:rRNA from 1 species
AGAGUUUGAUCCUGGCUCAGGACGAACGCUGGCGGCGUGCUUAACACAUGCAAGUCAAGGGGGCCCAGCAAUGGGCAACCGGCGAACGGGUGCGUAACACGUGAGCAACCUACCGAACUGUGGGGGAUAGCCGGCCUAACGGCCGAGUAAUACCGCAUACGCUCUCAGUGAGGCAUUUCAUUGAGAGGAAACCUACGGGACAGAUCGAGGGGCUCGCGGCCUAUCAGCUAGUUGGCGAGGUAACGGCUCACCAAGGCAACGACGGGUAGCUGGUCUGAGAGGAUGGCCAGCCACAUUGGGACUGAGAUACGGCCCAGACUCCUACGGGAGGCAGCAGUGGGGAAUCUUGCGCAAUGGCCUAACGGCUGACGCAGCGACGCCGCGUGUGGGAUGAAGCUCUUCGGAGUGUAAACCACUGUUGCCCGGGACGAAUAGCUCGAUUAAUCGAGCCUGACAGUACCGGGUGAGGAAGCACCGGCUAACUCCGUGCCAGCAGCCGCGGUAAUACGGGGGGUGCGAGCGUUGUCCGGAAUCACUGGGCGUAAAGGGCGCGUAGGUGGUUUGAUAAGGGUGUGGUGAAAGUCCGGGGCUCAACCCCGGAUCUGCCGUGCCGACUGUCAAACUCGAGGACUGUAGAGGCAGACGGAAUUCCGGGUGUAGCGGUGGAAUGCGUAGAGAUCCGGAGGAAGACCGGUGGCGAAGGCGGUCUGCUGGGCAGCUUCUGACACUGAGGCGCGACAGCGUGGGGAGCAAACAGGAUUAGAUACCCUGGUAGUCC